AUGUAUUCCCAUACACUGCGGUUCCUGCGCUCCGUGCGCCUUGCCCUAACGCCGCUCGCUACGGUUUUUAGCA
rnacentral:sRNA from 1 species